GAUGAACGCUGGCGGCGUGCCUAAUACAUGCAAGUAGAACGCUGAAGGAAGGAGCUUGCUCUUUCCGGAUGAGUUGCGAACGGGUGAGUAACGCGUAGGUAACCUGCCUGGUAGCGGGGGAUAACUAUUGGAAACGAUAGCUAAUACCGCAUAACAGUAGAUGUUGCAUGACAACUAUUUGAAAGGGGCAAUUGCUCCACUACCAGAUGGACCUGCGUUGUAUUAGCUAGUUGGUGAGGUAACGGCUCACCAAGGCGACGAUACAUAGCCGACCUGAGAGGGUGAUCGGCCACACUGGGACUGAGACACGGCCCAGACUCCUACGGGAGGCAGCAGUAGGGAAUCUUCGGCAAUGGACGGAAGUCUGACCGAGCAACGCCGCGUGAGUGAAGAAGGUUUUCGGAUCGUAAAGCUCUGUUGUAAGAGAAGAACGAGUGUGAGAGUGGAAAGUUCACACUGUGACGGUAUCUUACCAGAAAGGGACGGCUAACUACGUG
rnacentral:rRNA from 1 species